GGGAUCGUAGUUCAGCUUGGUUAGAACGCCGGCCUGUCAAGCCGGAGGUCGCCGGUUCGAUCCCGGUCGGUCCCG
rnacentral:tRNA from 2 species